ensembl:misc_RNA
UUGACAGCUUUAGAGCCUGAAGUUUUCUAUUUAACCACAGAACAGGUGAAGCUCAGGCAGCUGCAAUGCAACCUUCCAGCCACACCAAUGUGCCUUAGUGUUGAUCUGGAGGGCCUCACUUCUAGAAUUUUAGACCUCAUGGGCCCAUUCAGUUCUGAACUCUG